rnacentral:snoRNA from 1 species
GCCUGGUGGUUCCUCGAGCCAGCUCCAAAAUGCUGAGCUGUGGGGGUUUUUCGUUAGCAGGCGCACAUUGAUUCCUGCGGUUUAAUGCGUGGGGCGCUCCCGCCACCAGCGGCGCCCCACAGCCCGGCCGCAGAUACACGC